rnacentral:rRNA from 1 species
UACAGAGGGUGCGAGCGUUGUUCGGAAUUAUUGGGCGUAAAGGGCGCGUAGGCGGUGCGGUAAGUCACCUGUGAAAUCUCCUGGCUCAACUGGGAGCUUGCAGGCGAAACUGCCGUGCUGGAGUGUGGGAGAGGUGCGUGGAAUUCCCAGUGUAGAGGUGAAAUUCGUAGAUAUUGGGAAGAACACCGGUGGCGAAGGCGGCGCUCUGGACCGAGACUGAACGCUGAGGAGCGAAAGCGUGGGGAGCAACAGG